ACCACAUCGCGGGUUGGCGAUAGGCGUUGAGACGUUGGCGAGGAUGGUAGUGUAAUUUGGCAGAGCUCGGUGCGUUGUUGGAAGCACGGACUGCCUUGGCCUGGUGAACGGUUUCCUGUCCAACAGAGAAACCAUCUUAACCAUUCAACCUGUGAAUCAAGCACAGUGCCAAGCACAUAAUGGAUCCUUAAUAAGAUCACAAUAAAUGAACAUCGGAACUUGGGCCAUCUGCAAACAGGGCAUGAUCAAAGGUCAGGAGAGAGGGACUCCUCACUGCCCUCAGAUUACCUGGAGCACCCAGGAGCUGCAGAGAAUGUCCC